AAAGUCGUAACAAGGUUUCCGUAGGUGAACCUGCGGAAGGAUCAUUAUCAUUUUGAUUCUUUAUCCUAAACAAACCGUGAACUGUUUUUCUUUGUUUGUUCUUUACUGAGCGAACAGAGAGCCUUGAGUGCUCAAUUGGAUUAGAGUUUAGGGAUUCAUUUCUCUUUGUUCUUUUCUUUCUGAGUGCUUUUUACCAAUCGAACCCCAAAGAGCCAACUUAAGUCUUCCUUAUUAAUUGAUUAACUUCUUUUAACUGGUAGAUUUAUAUAGGCCACUUUUAAAUUUGACUGAUAUUCUUUUUCUUACCCAACCUAAAAAACUGGGAAGAAGAAAAAGUUUCUUUAAUGAAACAAUAGUACAACUCUUAGCAACGGAUGUCUCGGCUCUC
rnacentral:misc_RNA from 1 species